rnacentral:misc_RNA from 1 species
CAACCCUCAAGCCUAGCUUGGUGAUGGGCCUUCGUCCCCUGGACGAGUCUGAAAAUUAGUGGCAAUACCCUCCAGCUUCAAGCGUAGUAAAUCUAUCUUUUGUCUUGAUGGUUGGCUGGUGUGUUGGCCAAGUAAACCCAUUUUCUCUC